rnacentral:rRNA from 1 species
UACAGAGGUCCCAAGCGUUGUUCGGAUUCAUUGGGCGUAAAGGGUGCGUAGGUGGCAUGGUUAGUCGGGUGUGAAAUCCCGGGGCUCAACCCCGGAACUGCACUCGAUACUGCCGUGCUCGAGUACUGGAGAGGAGACUGGAAUUUACGGUGUAGCAGUGAAAUGCGUAGAUAUCGGGAGGAACACCGGUGGCGAAGGCGGGACUCUGGGCCGAUACUGACGCUGAGGAGCGAAAGCGUGGGGAGCAAACAGG